AAGGCGAUUAGUUUUGUCUAAUAACCCAUUUAAAUGCCAAGUAAAAAUAAAACUCCUAGUGUUGGGUCAGAAGCAUAUUUGAUUGAAAUUAGCUUUUUGAAAACAUUUAUAUCUCGGGACAAAUUGAGAUGGCCACAUGCCUAGAAUCCUAAGUUUCGGCAGAAUAUGUAUAUAAAGAUGUCACUUGUGGACAAAAUAGUACAUAGAGGCAAAUCACUAGACAAAUAAGCUUAGUGUUUACGUGACUGAACAGUCAUCCUGCUUUGGUUUCAGGUGUGGGAUUUGGACCAUGAGGGGCUCCCGUAGAGGAUGGCGGUUUGUGUUUGAUUCUGAUUUGGGAUUUCAGUACAUAUUCUCCACUUCCCAUAGAAGGCCACUUAUUCUUUGAAAACUGGUGUUCAUGUUUGCCGUUCAAUGAAGUCCCUUGUCAAAGACAAGGACGGUCAAUUCACGUGUCACUUUCACUAGGCAGAAGUUUCUCCAAUACCUUCUGGCUACUUGAAAGUUACUACAAAAAUUCCACCAGCAAAGUACUCCAGGUUUUUCAAAAGGGAAUUUUCAUUAUGGAUCAGUACCAACCGAAAUUGAUUUUCAUUUCCAAAACAAACACUGGCACCAACAUUUUUACUUUGGGAAGACUUGGCAGAGUGUUAGUCAUGAUCUGUUACUUACGUGUUCAGUCUGUUUUCUCACCCCCUUCUUAGUUACCAUCUCUUUUUUAAGAAGAAAAAAGAAAAGCCACAGUAUUAUCAAGGUCUCUACACUUGGACUGGGGGAAAAUUUGAAAUUAAGCACAUAACUUUUGAAUUAGUUCUUUGUUUCAAUGUUGAAUGUGGCGCAGUUAUGCAGAUGAUUAAUCAGGCUGCACUGAUGGAAGUUUUGACUUUGUCCCUGGUAUAAUUUGCAUUGAAAUGCUUUAUGAAAUAAAAGGUUCUACUAGAACUGAUGUUAGCACAUUCCACUGAGCAAAACUAUCAGACUGACACUUGUUAAAUUGCUUACUGGACUGAAUAAACUCUGUUUUGUCCAGUUAAAAGGGUUUUCUCUUUGUUACAAGUGUUAUUUGUAAAGUCCUGUCACAUUCAUGGUCGAAACUGGGUUGAAAGAAUUGAAAAUUGUCCAACAGAUAGAUAGAUAGGAAACCGCCUGGAGUGGAGGAGGGUUGUAUCUAAGCCUCCACUAUCAGUCAUGUUAAUUCAAGGGGCCACAGUGGAGGAAAAUAAAUCCACAAAGUAGAUUAUCUAAUUACCAUCAAAAUGAGUCAGAAGCAAAAAACACCACCCUCCAACAGCCUCUUAGGAGUACACCCUGUUCUGCUACUAAAAUACUAGACUCAUUUCCCUGGUGGUGGGGGGGAAUGCAGGUAUAGAUCAGAAAUAUAAUCCACCUUAAAAUUAGUACUAAUGAUCACAUUAUUUCACAAGAACUCUGCUGGAUGUACAGCUCUUAACAUUUUAUUAAGCCAUUUGUGUAGCCCACCACGUUUCUUUGUGGUGCUUGUCCUGUGUGGAAGAUUGUAAAUCUUGGGCCUGUUGCAUACUUCCAAGGGCUUUAAAGCAAUGUGAUUAACAGUACUUGGCCUGCUGCUUUUGGCUUACUUUGUAUUUUUAGCUAGAUGCUAUUAUAGUGUUGAAAGGAUAUGGAUUCUGUCUGGGAUGCAUUUGUUGUCCUUUCAGAACCCUUCCUCCCAUUACCCUGUGAAUAAAAACAAAUGGGACCCCCUGAGAAGGACAUCUUCCUACAGUGAUCACCUCACCAGCCCAGUGUUGUGGCUUUGUAGCGCACCCCGUAUCUACCAUAUUCUAGAACACUGUAAUGCUACUAGGCUGGCCCAGAAAAGGUUUAAAUGUUGAAUUCACUUAAAUUGCAAUUGUUGCACCAUCAUGGAAUCGUGAUGUGUAUUAUUUAUAUUGGCGGUGGACUCCAAGGUGUAGAGAAAACUUGGGUCUUGGGUAAUAUGGACCAUUUCAUCCUCAGACUUGUUAGGAGUACAUUUCUUGGUCUUGAGACCAGUAUUUUUCAGUUAUGUAUGCAACUGCCUUUAUUACACCUGGUUAUCACAAUUCAAUUCUCAGGUGUUGCAGAAAAAUCUACCUCUUUCAGACUGUAGAUGGAAAUAACUGUGAAAAAAAUGAUGCAGAUAUCUUCUAGUUUGUGCUAAACACACUGCUUUAUUUUUACAGCCCACGUCUUUCAUGAGGAUACGAAUUGUUAAGAGGCAGUCUCGUUUUGCUUUUCAAAGACAUUUUGUAGAGAUUUUUCACUAAUGUGAAUCUGAUUUUAUCUACUUGAUUCUGUAUAGAUUAAGUAAAUAUGUAUGAUAAACUU
rnacentral:lncRNA from 1 species